AAGUGCCNUGNAAACCGGGAGAUAAUGCCGGAUAAAUUACUAUGUCGUGCAUGGUUCCGCAAUGCGAGAGGCGGCUUCGGCCGUCCACUCUAUGGAUGGAGCCCGCGUUGCAUUAGACAUGUUGUGGGAGGGAACGGCUCCCCCAGGCAACGAAGCGGAGCCGACCUGAGGGGGUUAUCGGCCCCCCUGGGAAUGAGACACCGGCCCAGACUCCUCACGGGAGGCAGCCGUAGGGAAUUUUGCCGCAAUGGACGAAAAUCUGACGGAGCAACACCGCGUGAUGUGAUGAAGGCUCUUCCGGGUCGUAAAACUCUGUUGUUAGGGAAGAGACAAUGUGCUAGUAGAAUAAGCAGGCAACCU
rnacentral:rRNA from 2 species